UGCAGCCCAAACUGAGGGACACCGGCGCCUCCAGUGAAAAAGCUGAGCGGGUUGAAAGCACCCUGAGGCCCUCCUGUAACAAAGACGGCGUGAGGGUGUGUGUGUGUGUGUGUGUGUGUGUGUGUGUGUGUGUGUUUUGUCAGAGAGAGAGAGAGAGAGAGAGAGAGAGAG
rnacentral:lncRNA from 1 species